UACGAAGGGGGCUAGCGUUGCUCGGAAUCACUGGGCGUAAAGCGCACGUAGGCGGACUCUUAAGUCGGUGGUGAAAUCCUGGAGCUCAACUCCAGAACUGCCUUCGAUACUGAGAGUCUUGAGUCCGGGAGAGGUGAGUGGAACUGCGAGUGUAGAGGUGAAAUUCGUAGAUAUUCGCAAGAACACCAGUGGCGAAGGCGGCUGC
rnacentral:rRNA from 1 species